rnacentral:lncRNA from 1 species
AAGGCUCUUCCACACCCAAAAACUUUCAUAUGAAGAAUUUAUUCUUUGUGGAAGACUAGGGGAUGUCGCGUGAGAUUUGUUUGUGCCAAACCUUUUUUUUUCUCCCUUGUCUCUUAAUUCUUACAUGCCUAGUUUUGUGGGAAUAGAGAAGGAAGAGUCCUUCUACUCCUAAACUUCCCCACAUUGUUUAUUUUUGUGGUGAUUUAUUUCACCG